rnacentral:rRNA from 1 species
UGGGGAAUAUUGCACAAUGGGCGCAAGCCUGAUGCAGCAACGCCGCGUGAACGAUGAAGGUCUUCGGAUCGUAAAGUUCUGUUGCAGGGGAAGAUAAUGACGGUACCCUGUGAGGAAGCCCCGGCUAACUACGUGCCAGCAGCCGCGGUAAUACGUAGGGGGCUAGCGUUAUCCGGAAUCACUGGGCGUAAAGGGUUCGCAGGCGGAAAUGCAAGUCAGUUGUGAAAGGCAGAGGCUCAACCUCUGUAAGCAAUUGAAACUGUAUUUCUUGAGAUGUGGAGAGGCAAGUGGAAUUCCUAGUGUAGCGGUGAAAUGCGUAGAUAUUAGGAAGAAUACCGGUGGCGAAGGCGACUUGCUGGACACAAACUGACGCUGAGGAACGAAAGCGUGGGUAGCAAACAGG